AGCUUUAAAAAAUAAUCAUUUUUGAUGUUACCGAGUGGUAUCACCGUAGACAAUGACGGUAACGUCCUUGUUGUCGUAGAGAAAUCGUUGGAUGUGGUCAUUAUUUCAAACGAUGGAAACCAACAUAGGGAAAUCCUGACAGACGAAGGUAGUCUACGUAAACCAACAGCUAUUUUCUUUGACAAACAAACCUGCUCACUUCUUGUUGCGAACGCAAACAAAAUUGCUUUCCUCUACAAUGUUACUUAAAAUGAUCGAAAUCAAUAUGUUUUAUAUGUUUUAUGUCUUCAAGUUAGGAAAUACCUGAGAGGCAAUAAUGGUCUUUAGUAAUCAAAAAAGGUUAAUAAACAGAAUAGAAAAUUUUUUGCUGCGAAG
rnacentral:lncRNA from 1 species